rnacentral:rRNA from 1 species
GAUGAACGCUAGCUACAGGCUUAACACAUGCAAGUCGAGGGGAAACGACAGAGGAAGCUUGCUUCCUUUGGGCGUCGACCGGCGCACGGGUGAGUAACGCGUAUCCAACCUUCCCGCAAGUAAGGGAUAACCCGUAGAAAUGCGGCCUAAUACCUUAUGUUUUCCUUAGAGGGCAUCUGAUGAGGAACAAAGAUCCGUCGCUUGCGGAUGGGGAUGCGUCUGAUUAGUUAGUCGGCGGGGUAACGGCCCACCGAGACGACGAUCAGUAGGGGUUCUGAGAGGAAGGUCCCCCACAUUGGAACUGAGACACGGUCCAAACUCCUACGGGAGGCAGCAGUGAGGAAUAUUGGUCAAUGGGCGGAAGCCUGAACCAGCCAUGCCGCGUGAAGGACUAAGGCCCUAUGGGUCGUAAACUUCUUUAGACGCAGAGUAAUAAGGGAAUAAAGUGAGCCUCGUGAGGCUUUUUGCAUGUACCUUAUGAAUAAGGACCGGCUAAUUCCGUG